GGUAAUGGCCGGGAUAGCUCAGUUGGUAGAGCAGAGGACUGAAAAUCCUC
rnacentral:tRNA from 7 species